rnacentral:rRNA from 1 species
ACGCACGCUGGCGGCGUGCUUCACCCCUGCCAGUCGCACGGAAAGGCCCUGCUUUUGUGGGGUGCUCGAGUGGCGAACGGGUGAGUAACACGUGAGUAACCUGCCCUUGACUUUGGGAUAACUUCAGGAAACUGGGGCUAAUACCGGAUAGGAGCUCCUGCUGCAUGGUGGGGGUUGGAAAGUUUCGGCGGUUGGGGAUGGACUCGCGGCUUAUCAGCUUGUUGGUGGGGUAGUGGCUUACCAAGGCUUUGACGGGUAGCCGGCCUGAGAGGGUGACCGGCCACAUUGGGACUGAGAUACGGCCCAGACUCCUACGGGAGGCAGCAGUGGGGAAUAUUGCACAAUGGGCGGAAGCCUGAUGCAGCAACGCCGCGUGCGGGAUGACGGCCUUCGGGUUGUAAACCGCUUUCGCCUGUGACGAAGCGUGGGUGACGGUAAUGGGUAAAGAAGCACCGGCUAACUACGUG